CCUACGGGAGGCAGCAGUAGGGAAUCUUCCGCAAUGGACGAAAGUCUGACGGAGCAACGCCGCGUGAACGAUGAAGGCCUUCGGGUCGUAAAGUUCUGUUGUUAGGGAAGAACAAGUGCUAGUUAAAUAAGCUGGCACCUUGACGGUACCUAACCAGAAAGCCACGGCUAACUACGUGCCAGCAGCCGCGGUAAUACGUAGGUGGCAAGCGUUGUCCGGAAUUAUUGGGCGUAAAGCGCGCGCAGGCGGUUUCUUAAGUCUGAUGUGAAAGCCCCCGGCUCAACCGGGGAGGGUCAUUGGAAACUGGGAAACUUGAGUGCAGAAGAGGAAAGUGGAAUUCCAAGCGUAGCGGUGAAAUGCGUAGAGAUUUGGAGGAACACCAGUGGCGAAGGCGACUUUCUGGUCUGUAACUGACGCUGAGGCGCGAAAGCGUGGGGAGCAAACAGGAUUAGAUACCCUGGUAGUCCACGCUGUAAACGAUGAGUGCUAAGUGUUAGAGGGUUUCCGCCCUUUAGUGCUGAAGUUAACGCAUUAAGCACUCCGCCUGGGGAGUACGGUCGCAAGACUGAAACUUAAAUGAAUUGACGG
rnacentral:rRNA from 1 species